UGAGUUAGUCGUCUAAUGGUUAAGACUCUUGUCUUUUAAACAAAUAAUAUUGGUUCAAUUCCAGUCUAACUCAU
rnacentral:tRNA from 2 species